GUCCGAGUAGUUCAGUUGGUUAGAACGCCUGACUGUGGCUCAGGAGGUCGUGGGUUCAAAUCCCAUCUCGGACCCCA
rnacentral:tRNA from 2 species